rnacentral:rRNA from 1 species
AUUGAACGCUGGCGGCAGGCCUAACACAUGCAAGUCGAACGAGUGGCGGACGGGUGAGUAAUGUCUGGGAAACUGCCUGAUGGAGGGGGAUAACUACUGGAAACGGUAGCUAAUACCGCAUACCAUCGGAUGUGCCCAGAUGGGAUUAGCUAGUAGGUGGGGUAAAGGCUCACCUAGGCGACGAUCCCUAGCUGGUCUGAGAGGAUGAACAGCCAACCUGGAACUGAGCCACGGUCCAGACUCCUACGGGAGGCAGCAGUGGGGAAUAUUGCACAAUGUGCACAAGCCUGAUGCAGCCAUGACGCGGGUAUGAAGAAGGCCUUCGGGUUGUAAAGUACUUUCAGCGGGGAGGCGUUACCCGCAGAAGAAGCACCGGCUAACUCCGUGCCAGCAGCCGCGGUAAUUC